UACGUAGGGCGCAAGCGUUGUCCGGAAUUAUUGGGCGUAAAGAGCUCGUAGGCGGCUUGUCGCGUCGGAUGUGAAAGCCCGGGGCUUAACUCCGGGUCUGCAUUCGAUACGGGCAGGCUAGAGUUCGGUAGGGGAGAUUGGAAUUCCUGGUGUAGCGGUGAAAUGCGCAGAUAUCAGGAGGAACACCGGUGGCGAAGGCGGAUCUCUGGGCCAUUACUGACGCUGAGGAGCGAAAGCGUGGGGAGCGAACAGG
rnacentral:rRNA from 1 species